CCUGGCUUCAUAAGGAUAAAAUCUGGAAUGUUUUGAGAAGUAAGGAGAUGGAUCAUCCUUUGGGGAUGCCUAUGAAAAUAUCAUCAUUAAAAAAUAAGUUAUGAUAAAGAGUUUGAGGAAGAAGAGGUCAUGGAGGAUAUGGAGUCAGGGCCAAUGAAGGGGCAGUGCCAUCCAGACCACAGCUUUAUUCCCUGGAGGGCAACACGGCUGUUUCUGAUGCAAGUAGUUCUGGACACUUUUUGAGAAACUCUACCCAUGUGAGAAAUGACAGUGGUGAUGACCAGGGCAGCAUCCAUGGGCCAGGUAAUGGUGGGAUAUUCAUAAGGCACCUUGUUUAUUUGAAACCUUUUCCCUGCCUACUUGUUCCUCCCUCAUUUCUUGUUCUCCUUGUCUUCAAUCCAAGUCCC
rnacentral:lncRNA from 1 species